ACGCUUGAAGUCAGUCGCGUCUCUCGGGACUCGGUCGCCACCCCUCGCGGGGAGGGCGGCGUACUUCCCGGGUAUGGACGGGCCAGCGUCGAUUUCGACCGUCGUACAAAGGCGCGAGGAACGUGGCACCUUCGGGUGUGUUAUAGCCUCGCGUUUCCGUAUGCGACGGUGGGGAUCGAGGGUCGCAGCGCGCCUCUAACGGUCGGGGUUCGCCCACGUAACGCGCUUGGGACGCUGGCUUAAUGGCUUCAAGCGACCCGUCUUGAAACACGGACCAAGGAGUCUAACAUGCUCGCGAGUGUUCGGGUGGAAAACCCGCGCGCGUAAUGAAAGUGAAAGGUUGGGACCCCCUUUCUCCAAAGGGGGGCACCGACGCCCGGACUUGAGCUGCUGCGACGGUUCCGAGGCGGAGCGCGUAUGUUGGGACCCGAAAGAUGGUGAACUAUGCCUGAGUAGGGCGAAGCCAGAGGAAACUCUGGUGGAGGCUCGUAGCGAUUCUGACGUGCAAAUCGAUCGUCGAACUUGGGUAUAGGGGCGAAAGACUAAUCGAACCAUCUAGUAGCUGGUUCCCGCCGAAGUUUCCCUCAGGAUAGCAGAGACUCGCGCGCAGUUUUAUGUGGUAAAGCGAAUGAUUAGGGGCCUUGGGGUCGAAACGACCUUAACCCAUUCUCAAACUUUAAAUAUGUAAGAACGGGCCGUCACUUGACUGGACCGCCCGGCGAAUGAGAGUCUCUAGUGGGCCAUUUUUGGUAAGCAGAACUGGCGAUGCGGGAUGAACCGAUCGCGAGGUUAAGGUGCCGGAAUGCACGCUCAUCAGACACCACAAAAUGUGUGAGUUCAUCUAGACAGCAGGACGGUGGCCAUGGAAGUCGGAACCCGCUAAGGAGUGUGUAACAACUCACCUGCCGAAUGAACUUGCCAUGAAAAUGGAUGGCGCUCAAGCGUGCUACCCAUACCUCGCCGUCGGCGUUCGAGUGAAGCGCCGACGAGUA
rnacentral:rRNA from 1 species